GAAACAAGGAAUAGUACAAGAGGAAGCGGCAUCAAGUUGCACCAGGGGAGGUUUAGAUUGGACAUCAGGGAAAAUUUCUUCACUGAAAGUGUGGUGAGGCUGUCCACAGGCUGCUCAGAUGCCGUUGAGUUUGGAGACAGAACAGAGCUGUACCGGGGGUUAUCAUGCAUCAGUCUCCUGCCAGCAGAACUGUGAGAUACAGAUGUUGUGCCUUCCCUGGUCACGUGCAGAACAGACAUUGUGUUUGGUUUUUCACUCCAGUUCCUGAGGGUCCUCAAUUUCAAGGAUUUUCCCUGUAGGGAAAGACCAUGAACUGCAAGCUCAAAAAGCACCAGCUUGGAGGGAGCCUGGGGUGGGAUAUUGCUGGCAGCAAGGUUGAGGAUGAUCACAGCAAGCAAUGAGCCCCGAGGGAGUCAAACAUGGCAUUGUCUCUGCUUGCCAGGGUGAGCAGAGCCCUGUGGGGCAGCACAUUCCAUUGAUUAAAGUAAGACCAGGGCAGCAAUUUAUGGCACAGCACAGCUUGAAAAGCAAUGAUUUUCAUUCACCAGAUGCUGCCAUACACGAGACAAGGUUGGUGACACCAAGCUGCUGCCUUUCCUUUGAAAGCCAGUCUCCUCCCAGGUGGUCAGUACCAAACCCUGGCUGGAGUGGCUGCAACAUCAUCCAAACCAUCGUCUGCUGGUUCAGCUGGAGUGACACAAGAACUUAGCUUUAUAUUUUGCCAUAGGACCAAAAAAAGGGUGUUUGCAAAGAGCUGGUGGAUUCCCAUUAAAGAAUGACUACAACUUU